AUGGGGGCCCUCGCGGCGUCGACGUCGUCGGGGGACUGGCUCGUCGAGGACGACAUCCUCCUCAAGAACGCCAUCGAGACUGGUGCCUCUUUGGAGUCCUUGGCGAAAGGAGCUGUAUGUUUUUCCCGUAAAUUCACCCUUCAAGAAAUACAAGAUCGUUGGACUUCAUUGCUAUAUGACCCAGAGAUCUCAGCACAAGCUUCUGCUCGGAUGGUUGAGUAUGAGACUGAACUUUCCACUUCCAACCCUGCCAAGCUACAUAAACUUGUCAACUCGAAGGCAAAAGAUUUCUCAUUUCAGAAGCGGAAAAUAGAGAGUGUCAAGAAUUUAUACUAUGCGAUGAGAAAGAGAGUAUGCAAUGAACCCUGUAACACCAACGACCUUGGUUUUCUCAUUGCCCCUUGUUCUUGCAUGGCGAUUGGCGGGGAGUGUGUCUGCGGAGGCGUACCUAAACCUUCACAUGACCAGCAUGUAGUUCAAAAUAUUGAACCAGGGAUGAAUACAGUGAGCUGUUAUGGGCAAGCAGGUGGAAGCUACAGUGGUGCACAACAGAUGCAUCCUGAAAUAAAUGGCCAUUCUUUCCAUGCACAGCAUCCUGGCAGCAUGAUAAAAGAUGAGGAUGCCACCAAUAAUGCACCAUAUGUCUAUUCAGAUGUUCAAAUGUAUGACACCUACUCGCAAAAAGUUCCUGAGCCUAGUGAAGUGAACAAUGUCUCUCUUAGAGGUAUCACAGAUUUUCAGGAUUCUAUGCAGUUUCAGCAAUUGGCAUCUAGCAACCAAUGUGGCAAUGAAGUAGUAGAAUCAAAAGAAAUGUUGAUUACUGAUCAAGUUGGAGUUGAGCACGUGCAUUUCCCUGCUAAUAACAGCGGAGAAGCAAUCUGGAAUGGGGUUGAUGAAACAGACACACUUACUCUUGCUGAUGGUAAGAAAAUAAAGACAGCCAACAGAAACCCUUUAGCAUUGCAAGCAGAUGGCGGGAUUUGCAUGCCUGGUUUAGAUGAUGCAGCAAUGCCAGAAGGUGAUUACAUGGAUUUUCCCUUUUUCAGUAAUAGUGAUGAGUUUGAUCUCCUGAACGGUGAAAAUUUUCUGAAUUCUCCACAUGAUACGAAUCAGGAAGACUUGGAUGAUCCUGAUCCAAAAGGUGUACUGGGUGCAGACUCCGUCAUGCAGAAUAUGUUGCACCCUGAUGAGGCCAACAUUUGCUAUGAUCAGGUAGAUUCUGGCCAUGUACAUCAUAACGUUGAGGGUGUUUCGGAAAUGAUCCUGGUCCCUACUUCACCUGAAUUAUGUUAUCCGGGCCCGGAUGUGGAAUGCAUGUUAAAUACGGAAGAUCCUGAGAUCCCUUGCAAUGACGAUGCUAGUACACAUGUCGAGUUUUCUCCCCUGCGCCCUACUGCUUCUUUUGCGCGGAACUCUGAGUCUCCAUUUCCCCCUGCAACUAGCUCUCCAUUAAAGGUUGAGCAUUCCAAUGCGAGUGAUUUGGUCCAAAUAAAGAGAGGAGAUAUGGCAAAUGCCCAAUCUCCGUCGCAACCAAUGAAGCUUAGCCCAUCCACUACAGAACAAAAAGAAGUUUCAGUGGCACUUAAUAAAGGUUGCAUCCUAGGAGCUAUACCCUCUGAAGGUCCUUCAACUUCCAGUGCAAUUUUGCAUGGUAAUAUUGACACGAAUGAUGAGAGCACAUGCAUGCUAGCUUUACCUGCUAUUCACCCAUCUGGAUUUGGUGAAGGACCAUCGUGCAGUUUAGGACAGCACGAUUUUUUUGAUAACUCCCAAAGUUUGAUGUUGUACAAUCCUGUUCAAGUGCCUGAUCACAUGAAUUACAGCUCACAUGAUAAUCAGUCAGAAUUGCAAGAUGCCUCUGCUCUACAGAACUGUAUGCCAUCACAUGCAUUGCCAGAUUUGGGUCUUCAAGACCCUAUUGCAGCCGCGCCGGCAUCAGCUCCACCAGAAGAAUGCUUGGACAUUGAAAAUGAUAUUCCAAACUACUAUGAUUUAGAAGCCCUGAUACUUGAUCAGGAUCUAAUCCCAUGGGACCAGGCUGAUUCAUCUCACCCUGCAGUUUCCAGAUUUGAUCAUCCAGAGAACAGGAAAUCAUUGAUAAGGUUGGAGCAGGGUGCUCGGUCUUAUGUGAACCGAGGUAUCAUGUCUCGAGGUGCCUAUGCAGUUAUCUAUGGACUGCACUUGAAGUACUACAUAAAGGAUCCUGAGGUUAUUCUGGGAAGAGAGACAGAAGACGUAAAAGUAGACAUAGAUUUAGCAAAAGAAGGGAGGGCGAACAAAAUAUCUCGCCGACAGGCGGUUAUCAAGAUGGAUAAAAGUGGGUCUUUCCAUAUCAAGAACAUUGGGAAAUGCUCAAUCUUUGUUAAUAGCAAGGAAGUGCCGAGCUGCAAAGGGAUCAACUUAAGUUCUGAUUCUUUAAUCGAGAUAAAGGAGAUGAGGCUGAUCUUCCACUCGAAUCAGGACGCUGUGAGGCAGUACAUGGCCCGCACCCCGAAGCUCCAGUACUCGUCGUACCAGCCGGGUUUCUGA
rnacentral:rRNA from 1 species